CAGGUGACUACAGGGCAGACACACUGAAGAGGUGCCAGUGAUGGACCUACAGGUGGCCCAAACACAGGCUGAACUCCAAGACCUUGAGGAGCGCCUUAAGGUGCUGGAGUUCCGAAAGAGAGUGACGCUGUGAUGAAGUGGAAGACGGGACUGGGAGACAAGGCUGUGGAGCUUGUCAUAGCGGAGACACUCAAACACGCCCCGGCAGCCCAUUCAAAACAAGCAAGGGCCAACAGACAGGACCUGUAGCGGGGACUGGCAGAAAAUUUUAAUUCACU